UUUGCAACAGAACGACAAUUGAUCAUCCUUCAUUGUCGUUAUUUUGUCAUUGUCGUUGCACGUUGCUAUUCCUAACAAAAAAUGACAAGCGAAAAGCUUUUGUCAACUUGUCAUGCAUGGUGAAAAGUUCAUUGUUGUAGAAACAGCUGGUCAACGCUAUUAUUUGCAAAAAAUAUGAGCGGUGAAACACCAGAAAAACGUGCAAAAUAUGAGCGGACGACGCAGGAGCAGCUGCAAUUUUAUGUGCAGUUUUGUAGGGAGCAUCCGGAGCUGC